GGCAAAUUCUAUUCCUCGUAGAGUUACAACAAAAUUGGAUUCUGAUUUACACAAACGUCCGACAUCUGUAGUGUUUGUGUAUGAUGGGAAAAAAGUUGUCUUAAACCACUGAAAGGAAUUUAUUUUGAAACUUUGGACAUUGAUUUAGGUUAAGCUUUCCAAAAGUGUAAUAGACCGGGUUUCUGAGCUUGAAAAAGAAGUCCAAGUGAUUCUUGCCACGAUGAUGGAGGAUGUGGAUAUUUCCCCAUUGAGGAACUUAUUGAUGUCCUUUUUGAGUUAGCUGCUUCGUAUGACUAGGCACAGUUGACUCUAUAGCUGCAAGAUUAGAGUUGUUUUCAAUAGUCGGAGAACGUCUUACAUAUGCCAAGAUUGAAGAACAUGAAAAGGUUAAAGAAGUGUCAUAUAUUCGUUAAUUCCUAGAUAAGGUAAAAGAGAAUGUUAAAAAGUUGCACGAAAUAAAAUAACUUAAAUAUGAAGUCCUUUUAGAAGCUACUGAGAAAGAAGUUGAAGAAGUCAAAUUAAGAGCCUUAUUGCCGGAAAGGAAUAUGAUGCAUGCUCUGAUAUAGCCCUGAUGACUUCUCACGACUCGACCGAUUUAGAAAACAAGGAGCGCCUGGAAGCGCUAUGCGCCAACACCUGAUCAAUUAUUAGCCUAGAAACACUAUUUUAUUUGUUUUUCCUUCUUUCAUUUGAUUGUAUAGUAGAGAUUCUCAAUCAGAAAUAAAAUUCAUUUUGUUUCGCCUUAUAUCAUUCUCAUUGAUUUUUCUUUUUUCUGCACUUAAACAAUCAAGAUCCGAUAGUUAAACCACAUUUUCUACUAUGUUGGAAAAGGACCUCAGUCUUUUUUAAGGUGACUGAACUUAGAAUAGAACUUUGAGCGGCCUACAUACAUCGGAAGAGGAUCAAGUCAUUACGUAGUUUAGAACAAGUUGACUUUUACUCGCAAGGGUGGUUGAGUUGGUUGAGCCGGUGAUCUCCUCAAUGGGAGGUCUUAGGUUCGAACCCCCUGCAUGCUUUUUGGUCAAGCUUGUCGUACGAGGCUUGCCUAGUGCAUUUACCUCUCCUGUGUGGUUUGCGGGCUAUUACACUGGAAUGGGGUUUACCUUGUGCGCACCUGAAGGGUAGCAGCUGCGGGUUCCCUUGUCAAUUAAAAAAAAGGAGCGACAUGCACUUAUGUUCGUCCAUUAAGGUGCUUUUUUUCUUUUCCAUCAAGGAUAGCAUCUAUUCAUGAAUUUCCCCUUGACGGGGCCAAUCUGCAAAGAGUCAACAAUUUUGAAUAAGUUCAUAUCUUGGACAAUUGAAUGGCGGUUUGAUUCAACAGAUGUUGUGUUGAUUGACCACGGGGUACAUGAAGACACAAGUCUCUGCUCUGUGCUUGAGACUCAUUUGAAACCUGGUCCCUGGAAUCAUCCACUGAAGCAAUUUUGUGAAGAGGGUCAAAAUCACCUUUCUAUCAGUUAAAUAUAAAAGCCCCGCUGUGUGAGCAACUAGCCAAUAAAGUUAUUUUGGAAUAUCCUGAUAUUUAUGUUUUUCUGCCAUCACUAAGCUGUGAUUUUGAAGUAAUCAAAUAUUCCAUUCCUCUAAAAGUUGUGCUGAAAGAGGUAGAUUGCAGUGAUAGUCCAAGUCCCAAGGGAGUGAUGUUCAAGGAGGAGGAUAUAGGGGACGAUGGAUCAUUAGACCCACACAUUUCAGAUAUCUAGGAUUGUGCCAGGUUAAAUCCAGCAUCCCAGACCUCUAUCAAGUCAUUAGACAAGUUAACCACAUCAUUCUUUAAUGGACAUGUUACUGAAGGUGAGCAAGAUGUAGUUGGUGAUACAUGCAUAGUGCUUGAUUCAGAAGUUUUAUCAACGAAAGAGAAGGAUCUGAGUGGAGAGAAGGACUGGUCAUUGCUGGUUGACGUUUUACCUAUGGAAUAUGAAUUAGAGGAAGGGGAGAUAGAUCCACUUUAAUUUGUCAGUGCUUUAAGCUGAUCACAUUGUCUACCUUUGAUGCUGGAGUGCUAGUGGUGUUACCAAGACGUGCCAUGUAAGAUAAAAUGGUUCGCAUUGUAUACCAGUGAUUCAUGUAAGCUGCGGUAUGUGGCUCCUUAUAAUUCCUUCUACCUUGGUGAUAGCCAUAGUAGCUGUCAUAUGGGGAUCUUGGAUUUGAUUUCUCUGGACAACCUUUAUCUGAGAUGUGAAAGAUCCACCAGACAGUGGCUUGGUCAAUAUUUGAUUCUUGUAACGUGGAAAAAGAUUUAGAACCUGAUGAACUGGAUGCAGAAUACAGUUUCAUUUGUUAGAUGUUACAUGCAAGCAGUGUACCCUUCAUAGUUCAGGUACCAGCAGCAUUUGACGUUCCUGGUGCUAGAUGAUAUCUUGAGCAUUGUAUCUGGAGUUCCUCAAUCAAACAAUUUUACAACUAUAGUUAGAUUUUCUCUUGAUUCAUCUCCCGGGAAGCAUAGUUAGAUUUUCUAUGGACAUCCAUUCAUACUAUUACAGUGAUCAAGAUAUUUUUGUGUUAUAUGCACAUGUUAUGUGCUUCUUUCUUGAUUAUUGGUAGCGUUUAUUUGAUACUAUCAUGUCUGGAUCAAAUACAUUUAGCUACGAAGUUUUCAGCUUUAACUGUUCA